GACGAACGCUGGCGGCGUGCUUAACACAUGCAAGUCGAAAGAAGUGGCGAACGGGUGAGUAACGCGUAAUCAACCUGCCCUUCUGAGGGGGACAACAGUUGGCCACGACUGCUAAUACCGCAUACUGAAGGAGGGGAUUGCGUCUGAUUAGCUGGUUGGAGGGGUAACGUGCCACCAAGGCGAUGAUCAGUAGCCGUUCGGAAGGGAUGAACGGCAAAAUUGGGACUGGGACACGGCCCAGACUCCUACGGGAGGCAGCAGUGGGGAAUCUUCCGCAAUGGACGAAAGUCUGACGGAGCAACGCCGCGUGAGGGAUGACGGCCUUCGGGUUGUAAAGCUCUGUUAAUCGGGACGCGGUACCGGAAUAGAAAGCCACGGCUAACUACGUGCCAGCAGCCGCGGUAAUUC
rnacentral:rRNA from 1 species